UAUUUUUAUAGUGUAUCAAACACAUAACAUUUUCAUUGUUAAAAAGCUUCUGCUAAAAAUAU
rnacentral:tRNA from 2 species